rnacentral:rRNA from 1 species
AGGAACUACGACGAUAACUCCUCCUGGAAAACCGGAGUUAAUACCCGAUACCAUUUUCUCCUGCCUCACAGAAAAUUCCAAAAUGGUUUCCCCUCUCACUUAUUAUGGGUCCCUGGCGCCCUAUCUCCAUGGCGAGGUAACGGCUCCUCAAGGCGACGAUCCCUACCCGACCUGAGAGGGGGCGAGGCGCCCCGGGACUGAGACACGGCGCCACUCCUCCGGGCGGGCCAACUAUGCGAUCCUCCCCAUUGGACGAAAGUCUGAUCGAGAAACGCCUCGUGAGUGAUGAAGGUUUUUCGGUCCCAAAACUCUGAAAAAGCCCUAGUUGGCGGGCGGGUUGAUUGGGGGUAUGAUGGGGGGAUUUUUGUGUCACCCGGGCACCCUUUAGGGGAAAAAGGGACGCAGGCAUUCCGAAAAUUGGGGGUAAGUUUGCCCGGCGGGGGGUGGGGCUGUCCGUCGGUAACGGGGAUCAGUUCCCAUGCAACCAGUCCCUUUACGGGACUUUUUCCAUGAUGCUGGGACAGGAACAUAGGGACUCCUGAUGGGGGUGAUCUGAGAGUACGCCGUGUGCAAGCCGAAGCAGGUGAAUCUGCAUUUGGUCGGCCUUGUAUUGGAUUCAUAUUUCCUUGCAUCGACGAUCUUCUCUUCUAUCAACUCAUCAUGCUCGUUUUUAUCUCAUCAGGUAUCUACCUCCAGAGAUUCUGUCCCUCUCAAUCCGCUUUUGUGGGGCAAGGGGAGCCCCAUUU